UAGCUAGUCUAACCUUCGGGAGGACGGUUACCACGGUGUGAUUCAUGACUGGGGUGAAGUCGUAACAAGGUAGCCGUAGGGGAACCUGCGGCUGGAUCACCUCCUUAA
rnacentral:rRNA from 1 species